CCUACGGGGGGCAGCAGUCGAGAAUCAUUCACAAUGGGGGAAACCCUGAUGGUGCGACGCCGCGUGGGGGAAUGAAGGUCUUCGGAUUGUAAACCCCUGUCAUGUGGGAGCAAAUUAAAAAGAUAGUACCACAAGAGGAAGAGACGGCUAACUCUGUGCCAGCAGCCGCGGUAAUACAGAGGUCUCAAGCGUUGUUCGGAAUCACUGGGCGUAAGGCGUGCGUAGGCUGUUUCGUAAGUCGUGUGUGAAAGGCGCGGGCUCAACCCGCGGACGGCACAUGAUAAUGCGAGACUAGAGUAAUGGAGGGGGAACCGGAAUUCUCGGUGUAGCAGUGAAAUGCGUAGAUAUCGAGAGGAACACUCGUGGCGAAGGCGGGUUCCUGGACAUUAACUGACGCUGAGGCACGAAGGCCAGGGGAGCGAAAGGGAUUAGAUACCCCAGUAGUC
rnacentral:rRNA from 1 species